CUUGGAGUUGUAAAGCGAGAUUCUAGAGAGAGGAAGAGGGAGGGAUGAAGAGCGAGAGUGUGGGCGAGCUUGCGGGCUUGAAUU